AUGGGAGAGAUUCAGGUAGAUUUGAACUGUCAUCAUCAAUCAAGACCAAGGAGAAGGCUGCUUUCCAGGAUGUACACAUGGCCUCUGUUUGCUGUUGCUGUUUUGCUUCUUUUAAGAGCUCAACAGAACCCUGUAAUAUACAUGAACAAGUUUCUGGAAGUUAAGAGGGUUGAAGUUCGGGAUAGAAAUGUAAAUGUGUUCGGACAUACUGAGAAAUAAAUCACAUUGAAGAGAUGGAGAAAGGAGUUGCUGGAGAGGCAAAAUGAAAAGGCAGAUGCUAAGGAACUGCACAAAAAGAAAAAAUGUAUCCUAAUUGGGGCAGUGUGAACUUGUCAGACAGGGAAGAAGCAUGAAGUCAUAAAUUGCUUAGAGAAUUAUAGCAGUACCUUGACAUAGUAGGAAAAAGAAAGCUUAUGUGUACUCAAGAUCUGAAUUCAAGUUCUGGCUCUAUCUCUUACUGGAUGUGAGAUGCUGGACAAGGUCCUUCUCUAUUUCAAUUCUGUCAUUCAAAUCUAUGAAUUCAAAAAUUUGAAUUAACCACCAAAGCCCCCUUUGGCUGUCAAUUUUAAUCUGCAGUGACAUCCUGGUGGGUUGAAAUUUAAGACAGUCAUUAAUGGAUAAUAAACAAAGACCAUUUGUGUAGGAGUUUACCCCAUGUGUAUGGGUCUUAUUCUUAGUAAUUUGGGAAAAUAUAGAAUGUGAAUGGGGCAAUCUUGAAUUGUGAGGAGGAGCUCAUUUUAUCAGGCAAGAUCCCGAUUUUCAAAUCGGUACCUGAAUGUUGCUUAUUUGAUUAAACUCUGGUAUACAGAAAGCAUUAGCUUCAGCAUUAUGCCUCUACUACAUAGGAGAAGAACUAAAUUAGAAGGAAAUAGAUGUUUGACUGACUUAGAGAAAUAUUGAAAGAGUGGAUUGAUGAUGCUUUCCAGGACCAUUUAAUUUGACUGAUAUAAUAAAAAUCUUGGCAGUAAUGAGAGUCUUCUGAAUUAAAACCAGCCACGUUUUCUCAUUAAUAUAUUACUAUUGGUGAAAUUUUGUUUUAGAUGGUCUUCCAAAGCAGGAAAUAUUUCCAAAAUAAUUAAUUAUCACAGGCCAGGCGUGGUGAUUCAUGCCUGUAAUCCUGGCACUUUGGGAGGCCAAGGCGGGUGGAUCACUUGAGGUCAGGGGUUCGAGACCAGCCUGACCAACAUGGUGAAAGCCAGUCUCUACUAAAAAUACAAAAAUUAGCUGGGUGUGGUGGGUUAUGCCUGUAAUCCCAGCUACUUGGGAGGCUGAGACAGGAGAAUCACUUGAACCCGGGAGGCGGAGGUUGCAGUGAACCGAGAUUGCGACAUUGCAUUCCAGCCUGGGCAACAGGAAUGAAACUCCAUCUCAGUUAAAAAAAUAUAUAUAUCACAAAAGGUGGAAGAUGGGAUUGGUUCUCUUCACUCAUUUUUUCAAGCAAGAGACUUCUCAACUGUGUAUAUUUGUAUAU
rnacentral:lncRNA from 1 species